AGACGUAGGGGGCGAGCGUUGUCCGGAAUUACUGGGCGUAAAGGGCGUGUAGGGGCCUAUCAAGUCAGUGGUGAAACACCUGGGCUCAACUCAGGUAUUGCCAUUGAAACUGUUAGGCUUGAGGGUAGAAGAGGAGUGUGGAAUUCCCGGUGUAGCGGUGAGAUGCGUAGAUAUCGGGAGGAACACCAGUGGCGAAGGCGGCACUCUGGUCUACACCUGACGCUGAGGCGCGAAAGCUAGGGGAGCAAACAGGAUUAGAUACCCUGGUAGUCCUAGCCGUAAACGAUGGGUACUAGGUGUAGGGGGUUUAGAUACCCUCUGUGCCGUAGCUAACGCAUUAAGUACCCCGCCUGGGGAGUACGGUCGCAAGGCUGAA
rnacentral:rRNA from 1 species